AUUGAACGCUGGCGGCAGGCCUAACACAUGCAAGUCGAGCGGCAGCGACUUAACUGAACCUUCGGGGAACGUUAAGGGCGGCGAGCGGCGGACGGGUGAGUAAUGCCUGGGAAUAUGCCCUGAUGUGGGGGAUAACUAUUGGAAACGAUAGCUAAUACCGCAUAAUCUCUUCGGAGCAAAGAGGGGGACCUUCGGGCCUCUCGCGUCAGGAUUAGCCCAGGUGGGAUUAGCUUGUUGGUGAGGUAAUGGCUCACCGAGGCGACGAUCCCUAGCUGGUCUGAGAGGAUGAUCAGCCACACUGGAACUGAGACACGGUCCAGACUCCUACGGGAGGCAGCAGUGGGGAAUAUUGCACAAUGGGGGAAACCCUGAUGCAGCCAUGCCGCGUGUGUGAAGAAGGCCUUCGGGUUGUAAAGCACUUUCAGUAGGGAGGAAGGUAGUGUAGUUAACACCUGCAUUAUUUGACGUUACCUACAGAAGAAGCACCGGCUAACUCCGUGCCAGCAGUCGCGGUAAUACGGAGGGUGCGAGCGUUAAUCGGAAUUACUGGGCGUAAAGCGCAUGCAGGCGGCCUGUUAAGUCAGAUGUGAAAGCCCGGGGCUUAACCUCGGAAUUGCAUUUGAAACUGGCAGGCUAGAGUCUUGUAGAGGGGGGUAGAAUUUCAGGUGUAGCGGUGAAAUGCGUAGAGAUCUGAAGGAAUACCAGUGGCGAAGGCGGCCCCCUGGACAAAGACUGACGCUCAGAUGCGAAAGCGUGGGGAGCAAACAGG
rnacentral:rRNA from 1 species